rnacentral:tRNA from 1 species
GCGUAAUUGGUUUAGUGGUAAAAUUCCCCGUUGCCAUCGGGGAGCCCUGGGUUCGAUUCCCAGAUUACGCA